UGGGGAAUAUUGCGCAAUGGGCGAAAGCCUGACGCAGCGACGCCGCGUGGGGGAUGACGGCCUUCGGGUUGUAAACCUCUUUCGCCAUCGACGAAGCCUUUCGGGGUGACGGUAGGUGGAGAAGAAGCACCGGCCAACUACGUGCCAGCAGCCGCGGUAACACGUAGGGUGCGAGCGUUGUCCGGAAUUAUUGGGCGUAAAGAGCUCGUAGGCGGUGUGUCGCGUCGGCCGUGAAAACCUACAGCUUAACUGUGGGCGUGCGGUCGAUACGGGCAUCACUAGAGUUCGGCAGGGGAGACUGGAAUUCCUGGUGUAGCGGUGAAAUGCGCAGAUAUCAGGAGGAACACCGGUGGCGAAGGCGGGUCUCUGGGCCGAUACUGACGCUGAGGAGCGAAAGCGUGGGGAGCGAACAG
rnacentral:rRNA from 1 species